UGCAACAUAAACCUGGUGUGG
rnacentral:piRNA from 1 species